CGGAAUUACUGGGCGUAAAGCGCACGCAGGCGGUCUGUCAAGUCGGAUGUGAAAUCCCCGGGCUCAACCUGGGAACUGCAUUCGAAACUGGCAGGCUAGAGUCUUGUAGAGGGGGGUAGAAUUCCAGGUGUAGCGGUGAAAUGCGUAGAGAUCUGGAGGAAUACCGGUGGCGAAGGCGGCCCCCUGGACAAAGACUGACGCUCAGGUGCGAAAGCGUGGGGAGCAAACAGGAUUAGAUACCCUGGUAGUCCACGCUGUAAACGUUGGGCACUAGGUGUGGGGGCCACCCGUGGUUUCUGCGCCGUAGCUAACGCUUUAAGUGCCCCGCCUGGGGAGUACGGCCGCAAGGCUAAAACUCAAAUGAAUUGACGGGGGCCCGCACAAGCGGUGGAGCAUGUGGUUUAAUUCGAUGCAACGCGAAGAACCUUACCUACUCU
rnacentral:rRNA from 1 species